rnacentral:rRNA from 1 species
UACGGAGGGUGCAAACGUUGCUCGGAAUCAUUGGGCGUAAAGCGCACGUAGGCGGCUCGUUAAGUCGGAUGUGAAAGCCCUGGGCUCAACCCAGGAAGUGCAUACGAAACUGGCGAGCUUGAAUAUGGAAGAGUGUCGCGGAAUUCCCGGUGUAGAGGUGAAAUUCGUAGAUAUUCGCAAGAACACCAGUGGCGAAGGCGGCUCACUGGCCCGGUACUGACGCUGAGGUGCGAAAGCGUGGGGAGCAAACAGG